ensembl:snRNA U4 U4 spliceosomal RNA
AGCUUUGUGCAGUGGCAGUAUUGUAGCCAAUGAGGUUUACCUGAGGCAUGAUUAUUGCUAAUUAAAAUUUUCCCAAUACCCCAAUUGGGACAAUUUCCCAAUACUGUGACAACUUGUAAUAUAGUCGAAAUUGGCAAUUUUUGACAGUCUCUACAGAGA